rnacentral:rRNA from 1 species
UACGUAGGGUGCAGGCGUUAAUCGGAAUUACUGGGCGUAAAGCGUGCGCAGGCGGUUUGCUAAGACAGGUGUGAAAUCCCCGGGCUUAACCUGGGAACUGCGCUUGUUACUGGCAGGCUUGAGUGUGGCAGAGGGGGGUGGAAUUCCACGUGUAGCAGUGAAAUGCGUAGAGAUGUGGAGGAACACCGAUGGCGAAGGCAGCCCCCUGGGCUAACACUGACGCUCAUGCACGAAAGCGUGGGGAGUAAACAGG